rnacentral:rRNA from 1 species
CCUACGGGCGGCAGCAGUGAGGAAUAUUGGUCAAUGGACGCAAGUCUGAACCAGCCAUGCCGCGUGCAGGAAGACGGCUCUAUGAGUUGUAAACUGCUUUUGUACGAGGGUAAACGCAGAUACGCGUAUCUGUCUGAAAGUAUCGUACGAAUAAGGAUCGGCUAACUCCGUGCCAGCAGCCGCGGUAAUACGGAGGAUUCAAGCGUUAUCCGGAUUUAUUGGGUUUAAAGGGUGCGUAGGCGGUCGGAUAAGUUAGAGGUGAAAUCCCGAGGCUCAACUUCGGAAUUGCCUCUGAUACUGUUCGGCGAGAGAGUAGUUGCGGUAGGCGGAAUGUGUGGUGUAGCGGUGAAAUGCUUAGAGAUCAUGCAGAACACCGAUUGCGAAGGCAGCUUACCAGGCUACUUCUGACGUUGAGGCACGAAAGCGUGGGGAGCAAACAGGAUUAGAUACCCUAGUAGUC